GGGAGAGAGGAGCCCGAGACAGAGCGAGCGCCCACUGCUGGCACGUGGCGGCGAGGAGACGGAGAAGGGAGAGCGGGAGGUGGGGCGGCCACGGAGGACCGCCCGCCAGCGAGCCCCGCCAGCCCCGCUCGCCGAGGAGCCCAGCGCUCGCCCGCUGCGUCCACACCUGGGUCUGCGACCAGGGCGGAGGGAGGAAGACCCUCAUCUCAGAGUAGCCCUUUCCUCUGUUCUUUUCUUUCUUUUUCUCUUUUAUUGAAAGGGGACUACGUUUUAGCAGGAAAAACUACGCGUUUCUGUGCUGAGCAGGCUCCUUGCGGUGGCGGCCAUGCCGGGAGAGCCCCUCAGAGUGUGGGUUCUGUCCACGCUGGCUCUGAUAUCGCCGCGCUCACACUGCCUGUGUUCUAGGAGGGUUUUCAUUUAAAGAAAAUAUGGUGGUUUGUGUUUUUCUGUUUGUUUUUUAAAGAUUCUUUCAAAGGAGUACUGAAAAAUAUACUUUCCUGAAUUUGUCUCUCAAAUCUUAGUGGUGGACCUGGGAGAUGCGAGAAGCUUCCAGAAACGAAGUUUAAACAUGCCAAAACAACUCAAGAUUAGGAUCAACACCUGUGACGGGAGGAGGAUUUUUUUUUUCAGUUUUAGCUUCCAGCAGCUUCUCCCUGUAGGUCAGGGCAGUGAGGGAGCAUGGUCCCGGGCCGGGCAGGCGACUCCGUGGUCUCUGCUGGACUCCGAGAAGCAAAGCGCUUCCCGUGUGCCGUGGACUCGGCCCCACAGGAGGGGCCUCGGGCAGGACUGGCCGUGAGGCCAGAGGGCAGGAAGGUGGCAGUUCCCUGGCCAGUGGCUCCUUCCCCAGGGUCCUUCCUGAGGAUUUGGUGGAAAGCACCAGCCAGGAGGAUCUGUCCCCGUUCCCAGGGAGGCUCCCACCGUCGCUGUGGCCAGUUAGGCUCACUGAAUGCCCCAUCCCCUCUUGUUCCCCACCCUACCUGACUAGUUUGGAGCCCUUCUACCUGCGGGCACAGUUUUGAUGAGGUGGGGUCAUUUUAACUUUGGUGGGGAAAGGGAAUACGUUUCUGAAAUAAGUGGUACAAGGGGCCUCUGCCUGGGUCUGGGUUGCAACUUGCAUUUAUUGUUGCUGGUGGAGUCACCCCCAGCUCUUCGCACACCGUGAUGGGGGUUAGCCUCCCUGGCGGGACCUAGUUGGGGACUGUCUAACCCUAACCCUGCCUAUCCAGGCCCUGAUGACCCUGACCCCCAGCAUCCCCCUCCCCAUGUGCCUUAUCCCAAAGCCUCCAGAUUCCAGCUGGUACAUGGGAGAGAUGGGGGACACACAGGCCACCUUCCUUCUGGCAAGGCCUCUUAUUUAUUACCAUUGCUGUAGUGCUUUCGGUUCCCACUUCUUUUGGUAGCUGCAUAGAGUUUGGAUAGGUUUUUGCUAUGACCCCUUGUGCACUGUCCCCAUGGGUGACACACCCACCCACCCUGUUCUGUUCCUUGGAAUGCUUUGCCUCUGCUUUGUGCUGUUUGCUUUUUUCUCCACCUUAGCAACAGUUGCUAUGAGUCCCCCAAAUCAAGAAGCAUCUGUACCAAGGCAAUGUAACUUUUUGAUUUUCGGUCAAUUUGUUGUUUUAACUUCUUUUGUCACCAAUAAAAUCUUAAUAAACAGCU
rnacentral:lncRNA from 1 species